rnacentral:rRNA from 1 species
AUUGAACGCUGGCGGCAGGCCUAACACAUGCAAGUCGAGCGAGCGGCGGACGGGUGAGUAAUGCCUGGGAAACUGCCUGAUGGAACGGGAUAACUACUGGAAACGGUAGCUAAUACCGCAUACCAUCAGAUGUGCCAAGAUGGGAUUAGCUGUAUGGUGGGGUAACGGCGCACCUAGGCGACGAUCCCAAGCUGGUCUGAGAGGUUGACCAGCCACACUGGAACUGAGACACGGUCCAGACUCCUACGGGAGGCAGCAGUUGGGAAUAUUGCACAAUGGGCGCAAGCCUGAUGCAGCCAUGCCGCGUGUGUGAAGAAGGCCUUCGGGUUGUAAAGCACUUUCAGCAGGGAGGCGUUACCCACAGAAGAAGCACCGGCUAACUCCGUGCCAGCCGCCGCGGUAAUAC